AUUGAACGCUAGCGGGAUGCCUUACACAUGCAAGUCGAACGGAGUGGCGAACGGGUGAGUAAUGUAUCGGAACGUGCCCAGUAGCGGGGGAUAACUACGCGAAAGCGUAGCUAAUACCGCAUACUAUUGGAGCGGCCGAUAGCGGAUUAGCUAGUUGGUGGGGUACCGGCUCACCAAGGCGACGAUCCGUAGCUGGUUUGCGAGGACGACCAGCCACACUGGGACUGAGCAACGGCCCAGACGCCUCCGUGAGGCAGCAGUGGGGAAUUUUGGACAAUGGGGGAAACCCGGAUACAGCCAGCCGGCGUGUGCGAUGAAGGCCGUCGGGUUGUAAAGCACGUUUGGCAGGAAAGCGGUACCUGCAGAAUAAGCACCGGCUAAGUACGUGCCAGCAGCCGCGGUAAUUC
rnacentral:rRNA from 1 species